AGCUGACAGGCAAUCAGCACACAGUCGGCUUGACACAGAAGAGCCUAUUCGUUUCCGCAAGUAUUUGUAACAAAGUUACUCUAUAUUAAGUUACUUUCUAAAUAUCACUUGUUGCAAUAAUUCAUGACCGGAUUGAAUAUGAACUGUCACUUGCUGCUAGAAUAUUGACUCUCAGAUUCUGUUUGUAUGCUAAGCAUUAUCCUCACUAAACCUUGCACUGAAUUAAAGAGACACAGUACAGACAAACAGCUUUUAUUAAAAAGGAGAAGUGGAGAAAGAAGGAGAAAAGACGGACAGAAAUAGGAGGAAGAAGAGGGAACUUUUACAGAGGGAAUUACUACAAUUAAUACUGUGGCUCAAAUUGAAACCAAAGAACAAGGGACACAGACAGAUGGCACAGAAAAAAAG